rnacentral:rRNA from 1 species
UACGUAGGGUGCGAGCGUUAAUCGGAAUUACUGGGCGUAAAGCGUGCGCAGGCGGUGAGUUAAGUCUGAUGUGAAAGCCCCGGGCUCAACCUGGGAAUGGCAUUGGAAACUGGCUCGCUGGAGUGUGGCAGAGGGGGGUGGAAUUCCGCGUGUAGCAGUGAAAUGCGUAGAGAUGCGGAGGAACACCGAUGGCGAAGGCAGCCCCCUGGGCUAGCACUGACGCUCAGGCACGAAAGCGUGGGGAGCAAACAGG